rnacentral:rRNA from 1 species
UACGGAGGAUGCGAGCGUUAUCCGGAUUUAUUGGGUUUAAAGGGUGCGUAGGCGGAUUAAUAAGUCAGUGGUGAAAACCUGCAGCUUAACUGUAGAACUGCCAUUGAUACUGUUAGUCUUGAGUACGGUCAAGGUAGGCGGAAUUUGUAAUGUAGCGGUGAAAUGCUUAGAUAUUACACAGAACACCGAUUGCGAAGGCAGCUUACUGGACCGUAACUGACGCUGAGGCACGAACGCGUGGGGAGCGAACAGGAUUAGAUACCCUGGUAGUCCACGCCGUAAACGAUUAUCACUCGCUGUUAGCGAUACACAGUUAGCGGCUAAGCAAAAGCAUUAAGUGAUCCACCUGGGGAGUACGGCCGCAAGGCUGAA